UAAACGACUCUCGGCAACGGAUAUCUCGGCUCUCGCAUCGAUGAAGAACGAAGCGAAAUGCGAUACUUGGUGUGAAUUGCAGAAUCCCGUGAACCAUCGAGUCUUUGAACGCAAGUUGCGCCUGAAGCCGUCAGGCCGAGGGCACGUCUGCCUGGGCGUCACAC
rnacentral:rRNA from 1 species